rnacentral:rRNA from 1 species
AACGAACGCUGGCGGCAUGCCUAACACAUGCAAGUCGAACGAGAUCUUCGGGUCUAGUGGCGCACGGGUGCGUAACGCGUGGGAAUCUGCCCUUUGGUUCGGAAUAACAGUUGGAAACGACUGCUAAUACCGGAUGAUGACGAAAGUCCAAAGAUUUAUCGCCAGAGGAUGAGCCCGCGUAGGAUUAGCUAGUUGGUGUGGUAAAGGCGCACCAAGGCGACGAUCCUUAGCUGGUCUGAGAGGAUGAUCAGCCACACUGGGACUGAGACACGGCCAAGACUCAAACGGGAGGCAUAGGUGGGGAAUGUGGAAAAAGGGGCGAAGGCCUGAUCCAGCAAUGCCGCGUGGGUGAUGAAGGCAUUAGGGUUGAAAAGCUCUUUUACCCGGGAUGAUAAAGACAGUACCGGGAGAAUAAGCCCCGCAUAACUCCGGGCAGCCGCCGCAGAAA